AAAUUAGUCAUUAAAAUCUGGCUUAUCGGUAUUGAUUGGGCGAUAGAAAAUGUAAACAACAUAGCACUUACAUUUGUUGACAUCUCUGCUGCGAGGAUGAACCCGUGAACAACAUAUUGUCAGCAUCUAGUUAUCAUCCUGCAAUAUCACUGUCUAUGCUUGAGACUUUUAAAUGGCUGAAUAUGGAUAAAUAAAUACAGACGAGAAGUGCUGAAGAUUACACCCACGAAGAAAAGCUACAUUCAGUUACGCAUAAAGAAUGUCUUUAUAGUUGAAAAGUGCUUCAUAACUUUAUAUUUAUAGGACGAUUGUGCGAUGUCAUCAGGAAUUCUGUUUCAAACACAUGUACUUGGGUUUCUAUGGAACUGCGUCUGUACUAAUUCUUGACGUAUCUGAAAAACAAGCUUCUCCAUCAACCAAGCGAGCACUGUAUUCAUGCGCUACACAUAAAUUUGCGAAAAAGCUGUCAGCCACUUCCGUCAACAUGCCAUGUUUGAUCUACAACAUGAUAUAAAUACAAAUCGGAAUUGACUGUGACACAGACCUGAGACGCUUGUCAAAACCAGCUUACAAUUUAGGAACAUGAUUUGACUGCAAUGUUCCAUCAACUCAAAAUUGCAAAAAUGAGAAAGGGGUUAUCAAGACAACCAAGGACAACACUGUGAUAUUUUCUUUUACCUUGAGUUAAAUUAUGAAGGAUAGUUUGUCACUUAAUUGUGAACUCUUGGUUGUCUGAAUUAUGCUGCAAUAAAAAAUACAAAUACUCAAACUU